AGAGAGGCACCCUGAAUAUGCUCAAUCUCAUCUAAUCUUGGAAGCUAAGCAGGGUCGGGCCUGGUUAGUACUUGGAUGGGAGAGAGGCAGUGAGUCUAUU
rnacentral:rRNA from 1 species